UAGCUAAUCCUGGUCGGACAUCAGGAGGUUAGUGCAAUGGCAUAAGCUAGCUUGACUGCGAGCGUGACGGCGCGAGCAGGUGCGAAAGCAGGUCAUAGUGAUCCGGUGGUUCUGAAUGGAAGGGCCAUCGCUCAACGGAUAAAAGGUACUCCGGGGAUAACAGGCUGAUACCGCCCAAGAGUUCAUAUCGACGGCGGUGUUUGGCACCUCGAUGUCGGCUCAUCACAUCCUGGGGCUGAAGUAGGUCCCAAGGGUAUGGCUGUUCGCCAUUUAAAGUGGUACGCGAGCUGGGUUUAGAACGUCGUGAGACAGUUCGGUCCCUAUCUGCCGUGGGCGCUGGAGAAUUGAGGGGGGCUGCUCCUAGUACGAGAGGACCGGAGUGGACGCAUCACUGGUGUUCGGGUUGUCAUGCCAAUGGCACUGCCC
rnacentral:rRNA from 1 species